GCUGCGCUUUCCGCUCCAGGCAUGUUACCAUUGGCAUCCAAGGUGGCCCAGUAGGCCUCACUGGGCGAAGUCUCGUGGCAGCCAGGUGGUGGCUGUGGGGGCUGCCCAGUG
rnacentral:lncRNA from 1 species